rnacentral:rRNA from 1 species
UACGUAGGGGGCAAGCGUUGUUCGGAAUUACUGGGCGUAAAGAGUGUGUAGGCGGUGCUCUAAGUUUGGUGUGAAAUCUCCCGGCUCAACUGGGAGGGUGCGCCGAAAACUGGAAUGCUUGAACAUGGGAGAGGAAAGCGGAAUUCCUGGUGUAGCGGUGAAAUGCGUAGAUAUCAGGAGGAACACCUGCGGUGUAGACGGCUUUCUGGACCAUUGUUGACGCUGAGACACGAAAGCGUGGGUAGCAAACAGG